UCUGCGAAUAUAAAAUUCAUCAAAAAUUAUGGAGCUUCCUCAAGCAAAAAGAGAGAUUUCUGCCGUGUGGGACCACUUUGAUGUCAUUUCGGAAAAUAAGAUGACCUUUGGGAACAUUUUGAUCUCGAAGUGGGGAGGCAGACCAAAAGUGCCACAGCUGAUGCCAUCCUUGAGGUGCAGAGAUACAUGGCAGAGGGCAAUAUUGCGAGGUCCCAGGAUCCUCUUGUA